CCUACGGGUGGCAGCAGUGGGGAAUCUUGCGCAAUGGGAGCAAUCCUGACGCAGCAACGCCGCGUGGGUGAUGAAGGUCUUCGGAUCGUAAAGCCCUGUCGGAGGGGAAGUAGGGCGUCCUAAGGAAGCACCGGCUAACUCUGUGCCAGCAGCCGCGGUAAUACAGAGGGUGCAAGCGUUGUUCGGAAUUAUUGGGCGUAAAGGGAGUGUAGGCGGUUUGGUAAGUCUUCUGUGAAAUCUACGGGCUUAGCCUGUAACGUGCAGAGGAAACUACCAGGCUUGAGUGUCGGAGAGGAUAGGGGAAUACCCAGUGUAGAGGUGAAAUUCGUAGAGAUUGGGUGGAACACCAGUGGCGAAGGCGCCUAUCUGGCUACACUGACGCUGAGACUCGAAAGCAUGGGGAGCAAACAGGAUUAGAUACCCUUGUAGUC
rnacentral:rRNA from 1 species